CCACCUUUUUCAAGGCUUCUCCUCUAGAGGAAUCGGAUGGUGAUAGGGACGAGUUUUCGGUGAAGUUCCGCUGGGCCUCACACCCAGCCUUAUCUAGGCCUUGUCUUUGUAACGGCCUGGCUUCGGUCGCGCCCUCCAUGGCUCAGCGCGCAGGUGGAGGCUCCAGGACUGCAGUCUGCGUAGGUGACCUGUGUGGCGCGGGCCGGGCGGGGCCUUUCGUCCUUGGCAAACCUAGUAUUUUCAUUGCUGGGUGGAACGUCGGAGAAAAGAUAUUCUUACCUUACUUUUUCACAAGUAUGGAAAAAGACCUAAAGAAGUCAGUAGCUGCGGCCGCUAUCAUUAUUGAGUGCUUAUUAGUGUCCGGCCCUUUGAUAAUCGGUACCUAAUUCUCACAAUAAUUUUGUAAGAUGAAAUCACUCAGAUUUGACCAAGAUCUCCUAACUAGUAGGUGGGGAAUUGGAACCCACUGUGACUGACUCCAAAUUAAUACAGUGCUUGUAGCCAUUUA